GACGAACGCUGGUGGCGUGCUUAACACAUGCAAGUCGAACGGAAAGGCCCUGCUUUUGUGGGGUGCUCGAGUGGCGAACGGGUGAGUAACACGUGAGUAACCUGCCCUUGACUUUGGGAUAACUUCAGGAAACUGGGGCUAAUACCGGAUAGGAGCUCCUGCUGCAUGGUGGGGGUUGGAAAGUUUCGGCGGUUGGGGAUGGACUCGCGGCUUAUCAGCUUGUUGGUGGGGUAGUGGCUUACCAAGGCUUUGACGGGUAGCCGGCCUGAGAGGGUGACCGGCCACAUUGGGACUGAGAUACGGCCCAGACUCCUACGGGAGGCAGCAGUGGGGAAUAUUGCACAAUGGGCGGAAGCCUGAUGCAGCAACGCCGCGUGCGGGAUGACGGCCUUCGGGUUGUAAACCGCUUUCGCCUGUGACGAAGCGUGAGUGACGGUAAUGGGUAAAGAAGCACCGGCUAACUACGUGCCAGCAGCCGCGGUGAUACGUAGGGUGCGAGCGUUGUCCGGAUUUAUUGGGCGUAAAGGGCUCGUAGGUGGUUGAUCGCGUCGGAAGUGUAAUCUUGGGGCUUAACCCUGAGCGUGCUUUCGAUACGGGUUGACUUGAGGAAGGUAGGGGAGAAUGGAAUUCCUGGUGGAGCGGUGGAAUGCGCAGAUAUCAGGAGGAACACCAGUGGCGAAGGCGGUUCUCUGGGCCUUUCCUGACGCUGAGGAGCGAAAGCGUGGGGAGCGAACAGGCUUAGAUACCCUGGUAGUCCACGCUGUAAACGGUGGGUACUAGGUGUGGGGUCCAUUCCACGGGUUCCGUGCCGUAGCUAACGCUUUAAGUACCCCGCCUGGGGAGUACGGCCGCAAGGCUAAAACUCAAAGGAAUUGACGGGGCCCCGCACAAGCGGCGGAGCAUGCGGAUUAAUUCGAUGCAACGCGUAGAACCUUACCUGGGUUUGACAUGGAUCGGGAGUGCUCAGAGAUGGGUGUGCCUCUUUUGGGGUCGGUUCACAGGUGGUGCAUGGCUGUCGUCAGCUCGUGUCGUGAGAUGUUGGGUUAAGUCCCGCAACGAGCGCAACCCUUGUUCACUGUUGCCAGCACGUUAUGGUGGGGACUCAGUGGAGACCGCCGGGGUCAACUCGGAGGAAGGUGGGGAUGACGUCAAGUCAUCAUGCCCCUUAUGUCCAGGGCUUCACGCAUGCUACAAUGGCUGGUACAGAGAGUGGCGAGCCUGUGAGGGUGAGCGAAUCUCGGAAAGCCGGGCUCAGUUCGGAUUGGGGUCUGCAACUCGACCUCAUGAAGUCGGAGUCACUAGUAAUCGCAGAUCAGCAACGCUGCGGUGAAUACGUUCCCGGG
rnacentral:rRNA from 1 species